CAGGCAGUGCUGAAGGCCCGGGGAGGUUGGAGGAACAGAUUUCUCCAGCUGCCUUGACCUGAAUCAACAAAUUUAAAAGAAGAAAGAAACAGCCAUCUCAAAGUAGAUUUGCCCUGAGCUAACAUCUGUGCCAAUCCUCCUGCAUUUUGCAUGUGGGAUGCUACCACAGCAUAGCCUGAUGAGCAGUGCAUAGGUCCAUGCCCAGGAUCUGAACCCACGAACCCUGGACAACCAAAGUGGAGUGCAUGAACCCAACCACUACGCCACUGGGCCACCCCUGUAGGAAGAAACUGAUUCUCAGAGGCAUUGUAUAGAGUGCCCUAGAUCUCACCACUAGUAAAUGGAAGAAGUGGGGCUCCACCCGAAAUCUGUCUGAUUCAAAAACUCAACUCUGCCACAAUCCGGUCUUAAUAACGCAGCGUGGAUCAUGAAAACGGAAUAGAUUUGCAAAGGACAACUUACCGUGACACUUUUCUCCUGCCUUAAGUGAUCAAAAUAUUUCCAACUCAGAAUAGAGAAAGGAGAUGUCUAUGCUGUGUCUAACACUAAAUACAGACAUAUUUAUAAAACUGUCAAUGGGAAGGGGUCCUUGAAUCUGAUGACCCAUAGUCAUUAGUCAGACCCUUAAAAUUUGCAAAGAAAACAAGUGCACAGAUUCCCAUUAAUGAGUGCGUUCUGUAGGAAGACAUGAAAGAAUGUGAGAUAGCAUUUAUAUCUCAGACUCUGUGGACUAUAUACUGAAACUGGCAAGGGCUCUACGCUUUACAGAAAUCUGAUGAGCUGGGUAGUAUCAGUUGGGGCAGCAAAG
rnacentral:lncRNA from 1 species